rnacentral:rRNA from 1 species
GUCUUGCUGUCACUUAUAGAUGGAUCCGCGCUGCAUUAGCUAGUUGGUAAGGUAACGGCUUACCAAGGCAACGAUGCAUAGCCGACCUGAGAGGGUGAUCGGCCACACUGGAACUGAGACACGGUCCAGACUCCUACGGGAGGCAGCAGUAGGGAAUCUUCCGCAAUGGGCGAAAGCCUGACGGAGCAACGCCGCGUGAGUGAUGAAGGUCUUCGGAUCGUAAAACUCUGUUAUUAGGGAAGAACAUAUGUGUAAGUAACUGUGCACAUCUUGACGGUACCUAAUCAGAAAGCCACGGCUAACUACGUGCCAGCAGCCGCGGUAAUACGUAGGUGGCAAGCGUUAUCCGGAAUUAUUGGGCGUAAAGCGCGCGUAGGCGGUUUUUUAAGUCUGAUGUGAAAGCCCACGGCUCAACCGUGGAGGGUCAUUGGAAACUGGAAAACUUGAGUGCAGAAGAGGAAAGUGGAAUUCCAUGUGUAGCGGUGAAAUGCGCAGAGAUAUGGAGGAACACCAGUGGCGAAGGCGACUUUCUGGUAUGUAACUGACGCUGAUGUGCGAAAGCGUGGGGAUCAAACAGGAUUAGAUACCCUGGUAGUCCACGCCGUAAACGAUGAGUGCUAAGUGUUAGGGGGUUUCCGCCCCUUAGUGCUGCAGCUAACGCAUUAAGCACUCCGCCUGGGGAGUACGACCGCAAGGUUGAAACUCAAAGGAAUUGACGGGGACCCGCACAAGCGGUGGAGCAUGUGGUUUAAUUCGAAGCAACGCGAAGAACCUUACCAAAUCUUGACAUCCUUUGACAACUCUAGAGAUAGAGCUUUCCCCUUCGGGGGACAAAGUGACAGGUGGUGCAUGGUUGUCGUCAGCUCGUGUCGUGAGAUGUUGGGUUAAGUCCCGCAACGAGCGCAACCCUUAAGCUUAGUUGCCAUCAUUAAGUUGGGCACUCUAAGUUGACUGCCGGUGACAAACCGGAGGAAGGUGGGGAUGACGUCAAAUCAUCAUGCCCCUUAUGAUUUGGGCUACACACGUGCUACAAUGGACAAUACAAAGGGCAGCGAAACCGCGAGGUCAAGCAAAUCCCAUAAAGUUGUUCUCAGUUCGGAUUGUAGUCUGCAACUCGACUACAUGAAGCUGGAAUCGCUAGUAAUCGUAGAUCAGCAUGCUACGGUGAAUACGUUCCCGGGUCUUGUACACACCGCCCGUCACACCACGAGAGUUUGUAACACCCGAAGCCGGUGGAGUAACCUUUUAGGAGCUAGCCGUCGAAGGUGGGACAAAUGAUUGGGGUGAAGUCGUAACAAGGUAGCCGUAUCGGAAGGUGCGGCUGGAUCACCUCCUUU